AUGGAUUGGCCGGCUCUCACCGGCUGCACCAUGGUCAUGGUCCUUCUCUUCCUACCAUUGAGUGCUUCCCAAGACCGGCUUGUCCCUGGCAGGGCGCUGUCCCCUGGUGACACCAUCGUCUCCGAUGAUGGUGGAUUUGCCUUGGGCUUCUUCAACCCCUCCAAUUCUUCUCCGGCCAGCCUGUACCUAGGCGUAUGGUACAACAACAUCCCUGAGCUCACCGUUGUGUGGGUCGCCAACCGAAAUACCCCGGCCACCAAUACAACUUCCUCAACACCGAAGCUCUCCCUCACCAACAGCUCUAAUCUGGUUCUCUCUGAUGGUGGUGGCGGAAGCCGUGUCGUUUGGACAACUGCAAACGUGACCACUGGUUUGGUCUGGUCUACCCCGACGGCGGUGCUUCUAAACACAGGAAAUGUCGUCUGA
rnacentral:rRNA from 1 species